CGGGACGUAGCGCAGCCUGGUAGCGCGCACGCUUGGGGUGCGUGAGGUCGGCGGUUCGAAUCCGCCCGUCCCGACCA
rnacentral:tRNA from 1 species